GUGCUCGCUUUGGCAGCAUAUAUACUAAAAUUGGAACGAUACAGAGAAGAUUAGCAUGGCCCCUGUGCAAGGAUGACAUGCAAAUUCAUGAAGCAUUCCAUAUUU
rnacentral:snRNA from 1 species